rnacentral:rRNA from 1 species
UACGGGGGGGGCAAGCGUUGUUCGGAAUUACUGGGCGUAAAGGGCUCGUAGGUGGCCAACUAAGUCAGACGUGAAAUCCCUCGGCUCAACCGGGGAACUGCGUCUGAUACUGGGUGGCUUGAAUCCGGGAGAGGGAUGCGGAAUUCCAGGUGUAGCGGUGAAAUGCGUAGAUAUCUGGAGGAACACCGGUGGCGAAGGCGGCAUCCUGGACCGGCAUUGACGCUGAGGAGCGAAAGCCAGGGGAGCAAACGGG